UCUCCACCCGAGACUCAGUGAAAUUGAACUCGCUGUGAAGAUGCAGUGUACCCGCGGCAAGACGGAAAGACCCCGUGAACCUUUACUAUAGCUUGACACUGAACAUUGAGCCUUGAUGUGUAGGAUAGGUGGGAGGCUUUGAAGUGUGGACGCCAGUCUGCAUGGAGCCGACCUUGAAAUACCACCCUUUAAUGUUUGAUGUUCUAACGUGGACCCGUAAUCCGGGUUGCGGACAGUGUCUGGUGGGUAGUUUGACUGGGGCGGUCUCCUCCUAAAGAGUAACGGAGGAGCACGAAGGUUGGCUAAUCCUGGUCGGACAUCAGGAGGUUAGUGCAAUGGCAUAAGCCAGCUUGACUGCGAGCGUGACGGCGCGAGCAGGUGCGAAAGCAGGUCAUAGUGAUCCGGUGGUUCUGAAUGGAAGGGCCAUCGCUCAACGGAUAAAAGGUACUCCGGGGAUAACAGGCUGAUACCGCCCAAGAGUUCAUAUCGACGGCGGUGUUUGGCACCUCGAUGUCGGCUCAUCACAUCCUGGGGCUGAAGUAGGUCCCAAGGGUAUGGCUGUUCGCCAUUUAAAGUGGUACGCGAGCUGGGUUUAGAACGUCGUGAGACAGUUCGGUCCCUAUCUGCCGUGGGCGCUGGAGAAUUGAGGGGGGCUGCUCCUAGUACGAGAGGACCGGAGUGGACGCAUCACUGGUGUUCGGGUUGUCAUGCCAAUGGCACUGCCCGGUAGCUAAAUGCGGAAGAGAUAAGUGCUGAAAGCAUCUAAGCACGAAACUUGCCCCGAGAUGAGUUCUCCCUGACUCCUUGAGAGUCCUGAAGGAACGUUGAAGACGACGACGUUGAUAGGCCGGGUGUGUAAGCGCAGCGAUGCGUUGAGCUAACCGGUACUAAUGAACCGUGAGGCUUAACCUUACAACGCCGAAG
rnacentral:rRNA from 1 species